CGGUAAUACGGAGGAUCCAAGCGUUAUCCGGGAUUUAUUGGGUUUAAAGGGUGCGUAGGCGGCCUAUUAAGUCAGGGGUGAAAGACGGUAGCUCAACUAUCGCAGUGCCCUUGAUACUGAUGGGCUUGAAUACACUAGAGGUAGGCGGAAUGUGACAAGUAGCGGUGAAAUGCAUAGAUAUGUCACAGAACACCGAUUGCGAAGGCAGCUUACUAUGGUGCAAUUGACGCUGAGGCACGAAAGCGUGGGGAUCAAACAGGAUUAGAUACCCUGGUAGUCCACGCCCUAAACGAUGAAUACUCGCUGUUAGCGAUAUACAGUUAGCGGCUAAGCGAAAGCGUUAAGUAUUCCACCUGGGGAGUACGCCCGCAAGGGUGAAACUCAAAGGAAUUGACGGGGGCCCGCACAAGCGGAGGAGCAUGUGGUUUAAUUCGAUGAUACGCGAGGAACCUUACCCGGGGCUUGAAAGUUAGUGAAUAAUCUAGAGAUAGAUUAGUGAGCAAUC
rnacentral:rRNA from 1 species